rnacentral:rRNA from 1 species
CACCUUAUAGCUAGCUCAACUAAUUAAAUACAAAUAGUUCUUAUGAAUUAACCCCAAAUAAACGUAUGCACCAAUUAACAAACCAUUUUCCCUCCUAAGUACGGGCGACAGAAAAGGUCCAACGAAGCAACAGAAAAAGUACCGCAAGGGAACGCUGAAAGAGAAAUGAAAUAACCCAGUAAAGUAAAAAAAAGCAAAGAUUAAAUCUUGUACCUUUUGCAUCAUGAUUUAGCCAGAAGCCCCAAGCACAGAGCACUUUAGUUUGGCCCCCCGAAACUAAGUGAGCUACUCCAAGACAGCCUAAAUAUAGGGCCAACCCGUCUCUGUGGCAAAAGAGUGGGAAGAACUUUGAGUAGAGGUGAUAAACCUAUCGAACUUAGUGAUAGCUGGUUGCCUAGGAACUGAAUAGGAGUUCAGCCUGUUGAAUUCUUUCUUCAACUAACUUACCACAGCCUGAUAUAAAGAAAUCAACAGAGUUAGUCAAAAGAGGUACAGCUCUUUUGAAAAAGACACAACUUUUAUAAAUGGGUAAAGAUCACAACUAUUAAGGUAAAGUAUUCUAGUUGGCCUAAAGGCAGCCAUCUGAAUAGAAAGCGUUAAAGCUCAAAUACAUAAUUGUUAACCUAAUAUCCUGAUAACUAUUUUUUAACCCUUUAAAACUUACUAAGCCACCUCAUGCAGUACAUGAGGGUGACUAUGCUAAUAUGAGUAAUAAGAGAAUUUAGUUUCUCUCCAAGCAUCCCUGUAAAUCGGAACGGACCCCCCACCGAACAUUAAUCGGCCCUAAAAGAAGGAAAUGUAAAACAAAAAAAAUAACAAGAAAACCCAACAAUUAUAUACCGUUAAACCUACACCGGCGUGCGACCUAGGAAAGACUAAAAGAAAAAGAAGGAACUCGGCAAACACAUAAAGCCUCGCCUGUUUACCAAAAACAUCGCCUCUUGCAAAAUUGAAGAAUAAGAGGUCUCGCCUGCCCUGUGACAUAAAAUGUUUAACGGCCGCGGUACUCUGACCGUGCAAAGGUAGCGCAAUCACUUGUCUUUUAAAUGAAGACCCGUAUGAAUGGCAUAACGAGGGCUAAGCUGUCUCCUUUUUCUAGUCAAUGAAAUUGAUCUCCCCGUGCAGAAGCGGGGAUAAAACCAUAAGACGAGAAGACCCUAUGGAGCUUUAGACACGAAAGCAGACCUUGUUAAACACCCCCAUUACCAGGACUAAAACAAAAUAACCCCUGCCCUAAUGUCUUUGGUUGGGGCGACCGCGGGGAAACAAAAAACCCCCAUGUGGAGCGAGAAUACUUUUCUUACAACUAAGAGCCACAGCUCUAAUAAACAGAACUUCUGACCUUAAGAUCCGGCUAUUGCCGAUUAACGGACCGAGUUACCCUAGGGAUAACAGCGCAAUCCUCUUUGAGAGCCCAUAUCGACAAGGGGGUUUACGACCUCGAUGUUGGAUCAGGACAUCCUAAUGGUGCAGCCGCUAUUAAGGGUUCGUUUGUUCAACGAUUAAAGUCCUACGUGAUCUGAGUUCAGACCGGAGCAAUCCAGGUCAGUUUCUAUCUAUGUAACACUCUUUUCUUGUACGAAAGGACCGAAAAGAGGGGGCCCAUGCAAAAGUAUGCCCCACCCUAACCCAGUGAAAACAACUAAACUGGAUAAAAGGGCAUAACCCCCCUCCCCCGUCUAAGAUAACGACAC